UACAGGGGGUGCAAACGUUGCUCGGAAUCAUUGGGCGUAAGCGCACGUAGGCGGUUCGUUAUGUCGGAUGUGAAAGCCCUUGGCUUAACCGAGGAAGUGCAUCCGAAACUGGCGAGCUAGAGUACGAAAGAGGAUCGCGGAAUUCCGGUGUAGAGGUGAAAUUCGUAGAUAUCGGGAGGAACACCGGUGGCGAAGGCGGCGACCUGGUCCUUGACUGACGCUGAGGCGCGAAAGCGUGGGGAGCAAACAGG
rnacentral:rRNA from 1 species